rfam:Xanthomonas oryzae pv. oryzae KACC10331, complete genome.
CGAAGUCCGUUUGCUCCCCUCCCCUCACGGCUUCGGACUGGCGGGUCUU